CGGCAGCAGCUCAAAUUUGAAAUCUGGCCUUCUGGUCCGAAUUGUAAUUUGAAGAGGAUGUUUCGAAUAUGGUCCAGUCUAAGUUCCUUGGAACAGGACGUCAUAGAGGGUGAGAAUCCCGUAUGUGACUGGGUGCCUAGUUCAUGUGAAACUCCUUCGAC
rnacentral:rRNA from 1 species